rnacentral:rRNA from 1 species
CGGACGGGUGAGUAAUGUCUGGGGAUCUGCCUGAUGGCGGGGGAUAACUACUGGAAACGGUAGCUAAUACCGCAUAAUGUCUACGGACCAAAGCGGGGGACCUCCGGGCCUCGCGCCAUCAGAUGAACCCACAUGGGAUUAGCUUGUAGGUAAGGUAACGGCUUACCUAGGCGACGAUCCCUAGCUGGUCUGAGAGGAUGAUCAGCCACACUGGGACUGAGACACGGCCCAG